rnacentral:rRNA from 1 species
CCUACGGGAGGCAGCAGUGGGGAAUAUUGCACAAUGGGGGAAACCCUGAUGCAGCGACGCCGCGUGAGUGAAGAAGGAAUGCGUGAUGUAAAGCUCUAUCAGCAGGGAAGAAAAUGACGGUACCUGAGUAAGAAGCCCCGGCUAACGACGUGCCAGCAGCCGCGGUAAUACGUAGGGGGCAAGCGUUAUCCGGAUUUACUGGGUGUAAAGGGAGCGUAGACGGCCGUGCAAGUCUGGAGUGAAAGGCGGGGGCUCAACCCCCGGACUGCUCUGGAAACUUUCCGGCUGGAGUGCAGGAGAGGUAAGUCGACUUCCUAUUGUAGCGGUUAACUGCGUAGCUAUUAGGAGGAACACCAGUGGCGACGGCGGCUUACUGGACUGUAACUGCCGUUGAGGCUCG